rnacentral:rRNA from 1 species
UACGUAGGGGGGCAAGCGUUGUCCGGAAUCAUUGGGCGUAAAGCGCGCGUAGGCGGCCCGGUAAGUCCGUUGUGAAAGUCAAAGGCUCAACCUUUGAACGCCGAUGGAUACUGCCGGGCUAGAGUCCGGAAGAGGCGAGUGGAAUUCCUGGUGUAGCGGUGGAAUGCGCAGAUAUCAGGAGGAACACCAAUAGCGAAGGCAGCUCGCUGGGACGGUACUGACGCUGAUGCGCGAAAGCCGGGGGAGCGAACGGG